UUAGCAUUAAUUAUGGUUUGAAAUAAUUUUUCAGAAGUGUUAGUUUAUUUGUAAACAAGGAAUACUGCUUUGGAAAUCUGGUUUAUAGAUUAACUUAAUCACCCUUAUUUACUAAGUCUGUGAUUUUGGCACUGCUCCAGCAGGAGAGACAGCCACUGCUCCAAGGAGUUUGCACUGAAUAAACACUAGUAGUGUAGCCAGUGCCAGACAAACCAACCAUGAUAUACUGGAGGUAUUUUGGAAGAUUACGACUACCAAACAUUGAGCAAUGAACAGAUCCCUAUAGGACACUCUAGAAACAACCCACUAGAUAACAAUUACCUAUUUAUAAUUACUUUGAGAGCUAUCAGUUAACCAGUUUUUAAUCCAUUUAAUAUGAGUAACACUGAUUUUAACAUUGAUUUAACAUUGAUUUAAAAAAAAAAAAGGUGCAUUAUACAGAAAUCAAUGUCAAAAGGGACAAAAUCAAAGGUCCUACAGAAGGCUAAGUAUACCAUCACAGUUAAAUUUUGUUUGAUGAAACUUAUUUUCCAUAAGACUAUGAUGAUUGGCAUUAAUUAUGCUACCAUCCUUUAAUUCUUUAAAUAUUGCAUCCAUAUCAGCCUUUCCAUGAGUUUGCCUGGGUUCGAUGUCAGGCUAGUGGGCCUAUGAUUUACCAGAGUUAUCCCAUUUUCUUCUUUUCCCAUGCAAAAGGGUUUUAAGGAAGGAGGCCACAAAUGAAGGUGGCUGGGGUGUUGAAUAAGAACUCUACUGGGGGAGACUCGGGCAUGUAAACCACUAUGAUGCUAAAGCCCAGACACACUCAAACAGUCUGUCUUAAUUCAGAAUCUCCAUGUACAAGGCAAAUUUACCCUUUCCUUGUGUAAUAUUCAUUCAGAAGGAUUUAAGCCUCUUAAAACCUUUAGAGCUACACCACAGAAGGUCUGAGUUCUGUAAUAUGCCACUGAUAACUGAGCUUAUACAUGCACACAUGGCUAUAUGCAAAUAAUCUGUCACUAAUUCCAGCACACAGUUACAUUACUUUAUCAUUCCGGCACUCUCCCGGCUCACCAGAAGACAUAUAGCUAAAUAUGCAGUAUUUUGUAGUCUUAGCUCUUAAGUAAUCUCUGCAGUUUCAGCAUGUGCCAUAUGAUACACAAAUGGAAAAAUGUAAAUUAACACACUCCUGGCAGUCAACACAAGACAAUAUUCAGGCGACAGCUGCCUCAGCAUCUUUACAUUCUAGUGGUGAUGGAGUGAGAAAGGCAGAAUUCCUAUUCACGCAGAGCUGUCAUGCUACUCAGUAAUGGAGUAACAGUGUAUACACCUCUAGGGUGCCCCUGUUUAAAUCUUAUCUCCCAAAGCCUGUCUCAAACACUCAAAAUUUUCUAAAAGAGGAAGCUUGUAGCAAUCAGAUUUAUUUCAAACAGACUUAGAAAUCUUAUUAACAGCAAACUCCAUGAGAUUAUUGCCAGAUGGCUUUAUCAAGAGGGGAGACAGAAGCACAGGAUCCAUUGUUUCAGAAGAUCCCAGAGACCUUAUCCAGCCCGGUAAUUCAAGUCUUUUGGCGUUGUCCGCACCACAUAUAACAAAAGACAUUUUAUAAAAAUACCUGGAUGGCCAAGGUCUUCAAGCUCAUCACAUCUGGGAAAUGUGGAUACUAUUCUACACAGAUUAUCUAAAUAGAUAUCAUUUCCACAGUGCCACAGCUGUACAUAGCACUUUACACAGGAAGUAAGAUAAGGGCUCCUAAGUGGUGGAGCUUACAGCCAAAGGUAGUUAAAUGACUUCAAGGGAUGAUGAGCAAGUGUGAACAAUGUUCUCUCUAAUUUUUGACAGGCCAUGUGUGCAAAAAAUUUCUUCUGUGCAAAUUUUUGUGACUGCGGUGUUCGCUGUGUGCGCGUACACAGCUUAGAGGGAACAGUGAGUGAGAGUAUGGGAAGGAUAAGAUUUAAAGCAAUAGAUCAUGGGAUGCAUUCGUUUAAAAAAAUAUCUUGUUAGUUUCUUUUGCCUUGUAUUUUAUUUUUAACGUUAUAUUUAAGUUUUGAGGAAGCAAACAGACAAGAUUGAUGGAGGGUAGAUCAGUAUCAGAAAGCAAGCCAAAACCGCUAAGAGGAUCUGAAAAAGCAAGUUUUCAUGGCCAACUGAAUCACCAGCCAAAGAUACAAAGGCUGAGAGUGGCUAUACAUGAUAAACUACAGUGUGCCAUCUCCUGAAGGAAAUAAAUGGGAAACAAGUGAAAAACAGAACAACUCAGCUCACUUCUCCUUGCAGGUCAAUUGAAGGAUUGCAGUUUGUGAAGUCUUCCCAGAGAAGUAGGGUGUCUUCAUUCUCCUCCCAUGUUAAACUGUCACAAUCAUCAUCAAAAUCAAAUGUCUCACGCCUGUUAAAAGAGCAAUUAAAAAAAAAGGGUAGAAAUUAUUUCAAAACCACGUCUUUCCACAGCCUUGGAAAUACUUUCAAAAGAACAGCCUUAAAACACUACAUUAAAACUAUAGGAGAAAAAUAAGAGAAAUAGAAAUGCAACAGCUGAAAAAUUUAAAGGCUAUUAAAACAGGCUCUGCUGCUCUGUCUGGAAGGCUCUGACAAUUGGGUUUCUCCCCACCCUGCAACAGAGUACUGGAAUCUUGUCAACAUUCAAUCUACUUUAAACAGACAAUUCCAGUUUUGGUCUCUAGAUGGUGCUUUAAUUUUGCUAUUUCAGCACUGAACAGUUGCUAAACCACAAGAAUGUUUUAAACUAUUCUGUUACGUAGGAGGACUGAAAAUGCAGUUUGUAGAACUAGUUUGCAGACAAGUUUGACUGAAAAUGUAGUUUUAAACAUUCCCAAAAGCAAAGGCCAAUAGAACGGUCCCCAUGGAUUGUUUUUUUUAAAGAGUCAAAUGGAAAGUUUUUACACAAACAUUCCGCCUGAAGCACUUGCAAAUCGAAUGUUGCAGUUCCAAGAAAGAGACCAACUGUGAACAAAUUAAAUUGACUCCACUGAUUUUCAUUCUCCAAACAGAAGCACAAAACCGCAUAAUGAGUAAAAAAUCCUGUUUCCUUUCUCAUUUAAAUUCCAUUUUGAGUAAUAGUUUCAUUAACAUAGGUUAAAAAUAGCCUGCAAUAAUUUUUAAUUUGACAGAGUCCCUUUAAUUCUUUAAUUUGGUCAGUUGCUAAGUAAAUUAAAGUUACAAGAAAGAAGAGACUUGAGACACUUGAACAGCAGCAGAAUGGAAAUUCUACUCUUGCUACUUUAUUUCUUUUCCUUGUUAAAGCAGAGCGGGGGGGGGGGGAGGCUUCUUGUUUUAUAUUCUCUCAAUUGUUUCAGGCUUAGACAUAUUUUUGUUUCCCGAGUUCAUUUCCUUUUAAGAUGAUCACAUCAAGCCGGAAGUUGAGUCCAACUCUGUAUCUUAUGAAGAAGUUAAAGAACUUGGCAAGAGGACAGGCAGGGAACGUACGUCUACUAAUGACCAGCCUUGCUUAUUUUUAGAACUUCUAGUUUAAUGCACCCGCCCUUCAUAGUCUGUUCAAUCAUAGAGUUCUUUUCACUCUAAGAGCUCA